rnacentral:lncRNA from 1 species
AUUCCAAAAAUUGCUGAAAAAAACAUGACUCCACCAAAUAUGCUUGCAGAGUAAUUGAUAUUUCUUGAUAUCCAACUGUAAUGUAUUGCUCAUUAAUUCUACUCACACAGCUGGCACAAGGACUGUAGAAUCUGAUGGUUGAGAGGUGGUUUCAUAAGUAUUCCUAUUAGUUGUGUCUACUCUUUCCAUGGCUGGUGUAAGCCCUUGGUAUCUGAUAGUAAAGGAACUGUGCAUGGAUACUUAUCAUAAGUGCCCUUUUUACACAGUUCGCCCUGACCUGGUUGGGGAGCUGAGCACAUGUGGUACAGUCUAAAUGUGCCCCAACCUUACUACACAUAUUAGCCAUUCAAUGGUUUGAAUACCUUUCAGGCUUCUUGCCUCUUCCUAUCCUUCACUCAAGUGAAGAGUAUACCUGCCAUAGGGUGUUGCACCCCAUGGGCUUCUUUUUAGCACUCUCGAAUAGAGGAUCAUCUAGGUAAUUUCUGUACCAGUACCUCCACCAUCUCAGUGUGGGGUUCUAGCAGAGUUCAUAUGAUCCUUGAAAAUACUUGAAUAUCCUUGUACUUUGAAAUCACUUUUCAAGUCCUUGAAUGUACUUGAUUUUUUAGAAUUAUUGAUUGUAUCUUUGAAUAUACUUGAAUUUUGUGAAACUGAGAAUCAAACAAAAACUAAAUGUAUUUUUGUGCAGGUUCAUUGUGUUUUAUUUUUAUUUUGUGUGUGUUUUUUAUUUUAAAAAAAAGAACAUUAGAAGUUUUAGUACUCAGUGAGUGGGUGUGUCAUUUAGUAACUAAUGUGAGUGGUUGCCUUUGUUUUACAACUAAUACAGUGAAGCUUGCUUAAUUUGAACUGCUUGGGACCAGAGAAAACGUUUGAAUUAACCAAAUGUUUGAGAAAAUAUCAAGGAAGAUAGCUCCAUGUGUAGUCAGUUUUUAAAAAUCAAGGAAAGUAUGUACAUAUUAAGUUAUUUUUUACUCCUGGUUAUGUUCCUUGUCUACAAAAAUAACAUCCAAUCUCACAAGUCAUGUAUGUUAAGCAACAUAUGUACUAGAUAAAUAUGUAUUAAAACUUAAUGUGACAAGUGUACUUCAUAUAUUAACAUAGCAGAAAGGCCACAAAGUUAAGAAAAUGUGGAUUUUGGUAUUCCAUAUUUAGUGACAAUAGUUGUUUUGCUAUCUUUGCUUUUAUCUACUUCUUCCAACUUCCUUAACUUUGUUUUGAUAUUAAAAGUUUUGUACUGUCUUUUUGCCAUCGUUCUAUCAACUUCUAAAUCUGAGUUUGAACUCAAAUGAAUUUUAAUAAAGGUAGUAAACAACAAAGUUGAAGGCCAAUCAGAAAAAUAUAACCACUGUGCCAGUUGAAACUAACAUACUUUUAUCUGUACACAUGCCAAAUAGGUAUCAUUGAGUUGUGUGCAGAUAUUGCUUCCCACAAUAUGUCUAAGAAUUUGGUCCAAAAAACUCUUGGUAAAAGUUACACUAAUAUUUCAACUUAGAUUUGUAGGUAUGGUUAGAGGUACUUGUUCAAUUUAACAGAAGUUUGUGUUUUUUAGUGUGAAUUAGGCAUGUUUUUAAAACAUGCAAUAAAGCAGGAAAAAGUUAGAACUUUUCACUUGGUUCAAAUUAACCAGAAUUUCAAAUAAUCCUUACUUGUCUUAAGUGAACUCCACUGUACUUCCUUUUUAUGAAAGGUAACUACAUUGUUUCUUUUUGUGAAAAUUCAGUGCAGUGCAGUCAUUCAAAGUGAAAUCUACUUCAGGAAUCAUGAGCUGCCUCCACAAACGUGGGAAUUGCCAUUUUAACAAUGCAUGACUUGAUAGAAAAAAUAUGUGACUGGCUUAGAAAAGACAAUUCUCUUCACAAAGCUUAUUGCUUUCUAUGCAGGAAGCACACUGAUAUUUCUACUAUGGGCAAAUCAGCAUUAAACAGCAAAGCAAAAGGGGGAAAAACAUUUCAAACUUAUCAAGUCAAGUCAGCCUGCUAUUACAUUAGGUGCCUUUUUAACUCGGAAGACUUUUGCUACCAGUAAUCUUGAUCUAGCAACUAACUCUGAACUUGACCAAUUUGAACAGUUUCUCUGCAAGUGCAACAGAUGUGCUUAAAGCAGAAAUUUUAUGAACCCUAAAAAUAAUUACAAACCACUACAGUUUUCAUUCAUGUGAAAAUAUUUCUGAUCUUUUCAAGCUAAUGUUUCCAAACAUUUCAAUUUCUAAGCAGUAUAGCUGUGCAGAAGGCAAAGCAGUAUACCUUGGUACUUUUGGUAUAGCUCCACAUUUGAACAGAAAAUCAAAGUAAAUUCAUUUAUGCUAUUGUUUUAUAAAACCCAAAAGGAAGAUCAGCAGGAAAAAAUGGCUAGACAUCUACAUUCACUUUUUCUGUGAUGAUGAGGUUAAAACAUUUUAUUAUACAUAUAAAUUUAUUGAACAAGCUAAUGCAGAUGGUAGAUACAAAGAGAUAUCCAGUUCUAUCACAAUCUUUGACUUCAGACAUCUUCUGCAACUUUCAAUGGUUGGGCCUAAUGUGAACGUAAUAUUUUUAACAGAUUUUUCAAAGGAAAUUGAAUAGCAGACCAAUUGCAAUAUUCUAAACAUUGGGACCUGUGGACUGCAUAAACUGCACAAUGCCUUUCAAGCAGGAUGUGUUGCAGCUGAUUUGGAUGUGGAAAACACAAUUUCCAGUAUCUACAUUCUGUUGCAUGAUGCUCCUGCAAGACGACGGGAUUUUAAAGACGUAGCUGGCUGUUUUAUUUUCUUCCAAAGUUCUGCAAAUACAAAUUGACACUCGGUGAUGAAGGCAUGCAAACUUCCUGAUGUGUCAAGCGAUCGUUUAGCAUGGAAGGAGAGGUAUCUGCUAAAUGUCCCUACAUGGAAGACGAAGAUUUUAUCAUAAGAAAAUCUGCGAAUAGUAGAGUUAAAAGUAUGACGCAACAUCUACUACAUACAAUAUACCAUUUAAUCAUAAAACACAUGGACUCAUAAACGUUAUAGACACGCUUAAUAAGAACAUUCAAAACAUACUGGACGAUACAAUGAAACAACUAGACAAUAGAGAUAAAGUAAGAGUAUGUGUUUAUUCAGAUCAUCUGGAUAAACCAAUAAGUACAUGCUUACAGAAUAAGGAUCUUUUCUCACCUGAAAUCAUUUUAAUUACCAUCGAAAAAGUAAAUCAAAGUAAAAAAGACAUACCAUUAGACGAUUAAUUCAAAAUGUAAGUUAUUACAUUGGAAUAGUAAUUGGCUAUACUAAUAGCCUUAGCAUCGCUCAGAAAAGAUCCAAAAUAUAAUAGUAUUAGAGAUCAACGACAACCACUACUUUACACGUAUGGCUAAAGGCUUACAUACUUCGUUUAAUAUUCUAGAACGACCAUGCGGUAUAGAAGACAUUUCUAAAUUUGAACGUCAUCUAAAUGUUCAAAUACAUGUAGUAUCUUCAGAAAAUUUCAACCAAUAUAUAAAGGUUCUUCACGCCCAAACAAAAUUUACCUAUGGUACCAUGAUCACCAUUUCGACGUUAUAACAUCAAUGAAAGGUUUCCUCGGGGUAAAUUAUUACUGUUAAAGAUUGUAAUAAGCCAUUUGAGCAUUUAAAUGAAUGUCAUUGUUCUGAAUAUUGUAAUGUUUGUUAUAGUAAUGAAUUCUCGAAAGUUCAACACAGUUUUUUUCUGGUUGUAACAGAUUUUGCAAAUCUGCAGAAUGUUACAACAGACAUAAAUCAAAUAAUGGUAAACAAAUGAUAUCUUCAUGUGAUAAUUUUUACCAGUGUAAAAAUUAUUUUGUCAUUAUUGACAAAAUAAACGUAAUCCUGAAUUUCAUCGAUGUGGCGAAAUCAUAUGUGUAGGAUCUAAAUCGUAUGUCUUAAAUAACCAUUUAUAUUUUCUCCAGGAUAAAAAAAGUCCAAGAUUCGACGAAUAAAUACUUAUUUUUUUAUUUUGAGACUGAUUAGGAAACUAGAAUUCACGAGGUUAACUUCUGUGUGGAAACAGUUUUUAAAGGUUAUAAUUCAUUUAGCGAAAUUUGUAAAUUCUUAUUUUCGAAAGAACAUAAGAAUUAUACAGCUAUAGCACAUAAUAUGAUAGGUUUUGAUGAGCACUUUAUCUUGAAUUAUCUUAUUCAUCAAUGUAUAAAACCAGACAUUAUCUUAAAUGGUGGAAAAAGUAUGGUUGUGACCAUCAAAAGCCUCACAAUUAGAAUAAUUGAUUAGUUACAAUUUCAUACUCAUAUUAUUAUUAUUGUUUCCAAGAACUUUUAGAUUAGGAGAACUACAGAAAUGAUAUUUCCCUUAUCUUUUCAAUAUAAAGUCAAAACAGGAAUAUCGAGGACCUAUACUGGAUUAAAUUUUUUAUUCUUCCGACACCAUGUCAGUACCCAUAAGACAAAAGUUUCUGGAUUGGCAUUGUCAGCGACGAGAGGAAGAAUACAUCUUUGACUUUCAAGAAGAGAUGUACGGAUACUGCCGAUCAGACAUAGAUAUACUUCGUUGGGGCUAUCUUCAAUUUGGAGAAGAGUUUCUUGCAACCUGUGAUGCAGAUCCCUUCAGAUACACGACCAUUGCUUCUGUAUGCAUGGCUGUAUACAGUAGCAAAUUUAUACCACCACGAUUGAUAGCUAUCAUACCUAAUCACGGAUAUUUUAUGAGCAACAAUUA